rnacentral:rRNA from 1 species
GAGUUUGAUCCUGGCUCAGAUUGAACGCUGGCGGCAUGCCUUACACAUGCAAGUCGAACGGCAGCACGGGAGCUUGCUCCUGGUGGGCGAGUGGCGAACGGGUGAGUAAUGCAUCGGAACGUAUCCUGGAGUGGGGGAUAACGUAGCGAAAGUUACGCUAAUACCGCAUACUCUGUGAGCAGGAAAGCGGGGGACCUUCGGGCCUCGCGCUCUUGGAGCGGCCGAUGUCGGAUUAGCUAGUUGGUGAGGUAAAGGCUCACCAAGGCGACGAUCCGUAGCAGGUCUGAGAGGAUGAUCUGCCACACUGGAACUGAGACACGGUCCAGACUCCUACGGGAGGCAGCAGUGGGGAAUUUUGGACAAUGGGGGCAACCCUGAUCCAGCCAUGCCGCGUGAGUGAAGAAGGCCUCGG